rnacentral:lncRNA from 1 species
AUAGACACUUAAUAGCGCGUUUUUAAGUUUCAAAAGAUUGCGACCCCCCCGCCCUUUGCCUCACAAUGGUUUGAUCCACUGCCAGUUCCUUAGCUUGCUACGUAACUGCCGUGAGGUUCAUCCAGUCAAUCGCGCGCACACACACUAGCUGUAUAAGCAGAGCUAUUAACUAUUAAGCUAGCUAGUACCUAUUCCAUUUAUGUGGCGUCGUCAAAGAUGGAAUCAGCAUGCAGAUGAAGCAGAGCAGGCAACAGAUGGCACAGACAGCAGAGUUGGGGACAGAUGCAGGGACAGACUGGCAGAGACAGGAAGUCUCAGCUCUGGGGAACAGGGGAAGGAGCCUCCAGGACCCAGGCCACUGCCACUGCUUGGUAACAUGCUCCAGCUGGACCUCAAGAAGCCCUACUGCACUCUCUGCGAGGAUACAAGACGGUCAAGCAGGCGCUGGUGAAUCAGGACUUUGGGGACCGGGACAUCACUCCUGUGCUCAGUGAACUAAACCAAGGACAUGGGAUUCUGUUUUCCAAUGGAGACUCAUGGAAAGAGAGGCUCUUUGCCCUGACAAACCUUAGACUUUGGGAUGGGCAAGAAACUGAGCAAGGAGAAAAUCUUAGAGGAAAUUCACUACCUGACUGAAGUGUAUGAAAAACCUGAGGGUAAGGCAUUUGACACCGCCCAGCCUAUGAUUUAUGCCGUCUUCAACAUAAUCUCGGCCAUUGUCUAUGGCAGAAGGUUUGAAUACACUUACCAGAAUUUGCAUCUCAUGCAUAUUUAAUAACGUGUUGAAUUAAUAUUGCUCAGUAUAACUAUAGAAUCGAAUUAAUCGAUAAGGUUCGAGGGGCUGUGGUAUAUUGGCCAUAUACCACAAACCCAAAGGUGCCUUGUUGGUACUAUAAACUGUUAACCAACAUAAUUAGAACGGUAAACUAGUAAUUUUGCAUCAUACCGGCCAAUCAGCAUCCAGGAUCCAAAAAAGAAAAGAAAACCAGCCCUGUCGCAGACCACGAUGUCUUACUCCCAGACAAACGAAAUAACUUAUUUUCUCGCUUUGAGGACAAUACAGUGCCACCGACACGGCCCGCUACCAAAACCUGCGGGCUCUCCUUCACUGCAGCCAACGUGAGUAAAACAUUAAAACGUGUUAACCCUCACAAGGCUGCCGGCCCAGAUGGCAUCCCUAGCCGCGUCCUCAGAGCAUGCGCAGACCAGCUGGCUGGAGUGAGUACGGACAUAUUCAACCCUUAUCCCAGUCUACUGUUCCCACAUGCUUCAAGAGGGCGACCACUGUUCCUGUUCCCAAGAAAGCUAAGGUAAUUGAGCUAAAUGACUAUCACCCCGUAGCACUCAAUUCCGUCAUCACGAAGUGCUUUGAGAGGCUAGUCAAGGACCAUAUCACCUCCACCCUACCUGACGCCCUAGACCCACUCCAAUUUGCUUACCACACCAAUAGGUCCACAGACGAUGCAAUCGCAAUCACACUGCACACUGCCCUAACCCAUCUGGACAAGAGGAAUACCUAUGUAAGAAUGCUGUUCAUCGACUACAGCUCAGCAUUUAACACCAUAGUACCCUCCAAACUUGUCAAUAAGCUCGAGACCCUGGGUCUCGACCCCGCCCUGUGCAACUGGGUCCUGGACUUCCUGACGGGCCGCCCCCAGGUGGUGAGGGUAGGAAACAUCUCCACCCCGCUGAUCCUCAACACUGGGGCCCCACGAGGGUGUGUUCUCAGCCCUCUCCUGUACUCCCUGUUCACCCAUGACUGAGUGACCAUGCACGCCUCCAACUCAAUCAUCAAGUUUGCAGACAGUGGUAGGCUUGAUUACCAACAACGCCGAGACGGCCUACAGGGAGGAGGUGAGGGCCGGGGUCAGGAAAAUAACCUCAUACGCAAUGUCAACAAACUAAGGAGAAGAUCAUGGACUUCAGGAAACAGCAGAGGGAGCAGCCCCCUAUCUACAUUGACAGGACAGUAGUGGAGAAGGUGGAAAGUUCCUCGGCGUACACAUCAUGGACAAACUGAAAUGGUCCACCCACACAGACAGCGUGGUGAAGAAGGCGCAGUAGCGCCUCUUCAACCUCAGGAGCCUGAAGAAAUUCGGCUUGUCACCAAAAACACUCAAACUUUUACAGAUGCACAAUCGAGAUGCACAUUGAGGUCUGCACAACGCAUCACUGGGGGCAAACUAAUUGCCCUCCAGGACACCUACACCACCCGAUGUCACAGGAAGGCCAUAAAGAUCAUCAAGGACAACAACCACCCGAGCCACUGCCUGUUCACCCCGCUAUCAUCCAGAAGGCGAGGUCAGUACAGGUGCAUCAAAGCUGGGACCGAGAGACUGAAAAACAGCUUCUAUCUCAAGGCCAUCAGACUGUUAAACAGCCAUCACUAACACUGAGUGGCUGCUGCCAACAUUCUGACUCAUCUCUAGCCACUUUAAUAAUGUAAAAAUUGGAUGUAAUACAUGUAUCACUAGCGUUAAACAAUGGCACUUUAUAUAAUGCUUACAUACUCUAUACAAUCUACUGCAUCUUGCCUAUGCCGUUCAGCCAUUGCUCAUCCAUAUAUUUUUAUGUACAUAUUCUUAUUCAUUCCUUUACACAUGUGUGUGUAUAAGGUAGUUGUUGUUGAAUUGUUAGAUUACUUGUUAGCUAUUACUGCAUGGUCGGAACUAGAAGCACAAGCAUUUUGCUACACUCGCAUUAACAUCUGCUAACCAUGUGUAUGUGACAAAUAAAAUUCGAUUUGAUUUGAACUCAGUUUAUAAUUCUAAUUAUACCACCAUGUGGUGCACUUGGAUCCUGCAGCAGAACACAAUUCAUUUGACUUGUCCAACACUACCAUACCAAUGUGCACAGAUGUCAAUUCAACGUGUAUUCAACAUUGGUUCAACGUAAUUUCAUUGAAGUUAAGUAGAAACAACGUAGAUUCAUCCAGUGUGUGCCCAGUAUACAUAUGACUGAAUGCCAGAUGAGGGAGGAUAGAAUUACAGUUCUUAUCAGCAGAAUUUCAUGUAAACUCACAGACUCAAACACUAAAACACUUCCUCUAGCUGCUUUAAUAGAAUAUGUUGAUUAUCUGUGAAUAACUUAUAACAGAUCCUUAAGUAACUGUAGUACAUAAUUCAUGUGUCAUCUGAGGGUCUGUUUCUUUUAGGAAUCUGGCAAUAUGGCAAUAUAGAUUCUUUGUACCAUGAUAACAACCUGGUAUUUAGUGUUACUGUCAGUGGAAUUUUCUAUCCCAAUGAUAGUAAUUAACAAUCAAUAAGCUUUGACUAUUCCCCAAGGUUUGUAAGACACUGGGUUAAGAAUAAUUAGGCAAGGACUCAGCUGUCUGCAAAAGGUCUGUACAGUUUAUUCAGAGAACGUUCUGAAGUACAUUACACAAAGAUGUUCAUUUUAUGCUCACUCCCCGCUUACGCACAUACCUACACACAAACAAUAGAUAUCCUACGCACAUACAUACAAUUCACCUACUGUUCGUAUGUAUCCCUCCCCGGACUUCUCACCACUGUUAAUCACUAUCCAGUGCUGUCUGUUCCUUUCCCCCGAGAUUCGAGAAACCUUGAGGGUCACUCCCUUUCUUCUCUAAGUUACUCAAAGUUCCUCAGCUGCCGGGUCAAUCGCAGUCUACUUGUUGUUAUCUUAGGCCCACUAAAACACACACACACACACACACACAUUUUGUCCCAGGCCUCUAAUAGAUAUGGGCCUGUUAUGGGCCUGUCGAUUAGUACUUUAAUUAUUCAUUAUACAUGCUACAUAACUACUAAUUACUAAUUGGUUACGUGAUUCUUUAUUUUAUUCAUUUACCUUUAUUAUAUAAUUCCCUUAUCAGUUACUACCCUGUUUGGUGCUGGUACCGACACCACCGGGACAACCCUGCGCUGGGGUCUGCUGCUGAUGGCCAGGUACCCCCAUAUACAGGGUAAGGAUUGAUGUAAACACAAACGCAUGCACGCACACUCACCACAGGCUGCUGAGGGGAGGACGGCUCAUAAUAAUGGCUGGAAUGGAGUGGUACCGACACCACCGGGACAACCCUGCGCUGGGGUCUGCUGCUGAUGGCCAAGUACCCCCAUAUACAGGGUAAGGAUUGAUAUAAACACACACAGUUCUUGCCAUACAGUCGUGGGCCAAAAGUUUUGAGAAUGACAUAAAUAUUAAUUUCCACAAAGUUUGCUGCUUCAGUGUCUUUAGAUAUUUUUGUCAGAUGUUACUAUGGAAUACUGAAGUAUAAAUACAAGCAUUUCAUAAGUGUGAAGGCUUUUAUUGACAAUUACAUGAAGUUGAUGCAAAGAGCCAAUAUUUGCAGUGUUGACCCUUCUUUUUCAAGAUCUCUGCAAUCCGCCCUGGCAUGCUGUCAAUUAACUUAUGGGCCAUAUCCUGACUGAUGGCAGCCCAUUCUUGCAUAAUCAAUGCUUGGAGUUUGUCAGAAUAUGUGGGUUUUUGUUUGUCCACCCGCCUCUUGAGGAUUGACCACAAGUUCUCAAUGGGAUUAAGGUCUGGGGAGUUUCCUGGCCAUGGACCCAAAAUAUCAAUGUUUUGUUCCCCGAGCCACUUAGUUAUCACUUUUGCCUUAUGGCAAGGUGCUCCAUCAUGCUGGAAAAGGCAUUGUUCGUCACCAAACUGUUCCUGGAUGGUUGAGAGAAGUUGCUCUUGGAGGAUGUGUUGGUACUAUUCAUUAUUCAUGGCUGUGUUCUUAGGCAAAAUUGUGAGUGAGCCCACUCCCUUGGCUGAGAAGCAACCCCACACAUGAAUGGUCUCAGGAUGCUUUACUGUUGGCAUGACACAGGACUGAUGGUAGCGCUCACCUUGUUUUCUCCGGACAAGCUUUUUCCGGAUGCCCCAAACAAUCGGAAAGGGGAUUCAUCAGAGAAAAUGACUUUACCCCAGUCUUCAGCAGUCCAAUCCCUGUACCUUUUGCAGAAUAUCAGUCUGUCCCUGAUGUUUUUCCUGGAGAGUGUUACGUUCCCCAGUUUCUGUUGUGGUUUGUGUAUUUUCAUGUAUGUAUUUCAGGAAAUGGAUUCCUGAAAUGCUCUACAAGCAGCUGAUUGGUCAGCCCCAUUGAUGAUUGGAUAGCUGACCCCGCCCCCUCGUCAGGACGCAGCUGUCUCCAAUUACCAACUCCUUCUGAAGCUUUAUAAGCCAGUGUUCUGUUCCUCAGAAGGGAGAUGAUUGCUGAGAGAGAGAGGAGGCUGAUGGCUAUUAUGUUGGUUGUUGCUGGGGAGCUGAUUGGUAAAUUCUUUGUUGUUCAGAGUUUGGUUAAGUAUUGUGUAGGAGCUGAUUGGUUAUGUCUGUUGUGUCAAUAGGACGAAGUGUUUUGAUUAUUGAAAUUGUUUGAGUUAUUCUGUUGCAUUUGUUCCCAGGGGGGAAGGGGAAGGCACCUAGGGAGUGCUUAGGCAAGAGACCCACGGGCAUACAUAACCUGUAGUAUUUACUGUCUAUGCACACUAGGAAAGAUCUGGGUGGACCAUCCCCUGUAUUUUGGUUAGUGCACCAAGUGGUGUUAGUUAGGUAAGUAGUGGGUAGGCAGGUAAGGUGUGGGGGGGGCUUUGAUAUUUAAUUUCUUUGCUUUGGUUCCGUCCAGCCCAUUCCCAAAAAUUACCGUGCGACAGAAUAAAUUCCCUCUAAAUGGUAAUUCUCUGCCUUUUGUCAUCCUUACUCACACCUACAGUCCAUACCUCUUUCACA